GCUGGUGGCUCAUGCCUGUAAUCCUAGCUACUUGGGAGGCUGAGACUUGAAGAGCACAGUUUGAAGCUAUCCCUGGAGGCAAAGUCUGUGAGACUCU